AGGUGAAGGUAAUUUAUACAUGUACAAAUCCAGGCUUCAAUUUUUCUUUGCAUCGUUUAUCAUUAAAAUUGAACAGGAUUUGUAAAAAGAAUUUGUCCACUAUAUUCGUUUAGUCUCUUACUAUAUCUGACGGCCACUAUGUAUAGAGCUGCUCACUUAGUCACUGUUCAGUGUAAUCAAUCGUCAACAGUGUAGAGGACGUAUGCUAUACUACACUCGAUAGCGACAGAAUUAGUUCUUUAAAUGCAGGAGAGUAAAAUACCAAAGGGACUUGCAACAGUUGCUCAGAUUAGUGCAACAUACAAACAAGCACAAAUGCACGCAUCUGCAGUGUCACCAAAGGUAAUGCAAGACGACCAGCACGACCACGGGUCGCCAUUUAAUGCCGAUACCUUGACAAUUAACGAAUGCGAAGAGUGUACAAUGGUGCUGAUAUCGUAGAUAGUAAAGUCUAAAAUAGCGUACGCGUAUUUACGAUACUUGUUCAACUUAAACUUUAUCUAUUCUAUAAAAUAAAGACAGAGAAACAUUAACAUUUUGAUAUAAAAAUAACUUUUUUUUAUAAUAUAGUGAAUUUGGAAGUUUAUCUGUGAGUUUCAUUUUAUAUAUUGUAUAUUGGUGUGUGUAUGUGUGUAUGUUUUAUGUCCUGUUCAGUGAUUUUUUAGUUUAACUAUCACUGUGCAUCGUCGGAAAUCCAGGACUGAAUACGCUUCCUUCCUCUCUCCAUCAUAUGGGUGAUGGAGAGAGGCGCAGAACGUAAUCACUCGUGGGUUUCCGACGAUAUCACUGUGUGUCUAUGAUUUAAGUACAGUUUAGUUAUUUUUAUUUUUCUAUCACAGUGUGUCUAUAAUAUAUGCCCUGUUAAUUUAUUUUUAUUUUAUUUAUCACAGUGUGUCUAUAAUUUAUGUCCUGUUAAUUUAUUUUUAUUUUUCUAUCACUGUGUGUCUAUAAUUUAUGUCCUGUUAAUUUAUUUUUAUUUUAUUUAUCACAGUGUGUCUAUAAUUUAUGUCCUGUUCAGUGAUUUUUAUUGUUUCGGUGAAAAGUUGUCAUGUUACAGGUACCACUGUAAGCUCUCUGCUCUUACCUGUUACAGGUAACGUUGUUAGUUGUCAGUUUUCAGCUGAUACAGGUAUACUUUGUACAUACAAGGUGUCAGUUAUUGUUUGUUACAGUUGUACUGUAUACCUAUUGUAAGAUAUCAGGUGUUACAGUUACUCAUUGUAGGAUGUCAGUUCUUGCCUGUUACAGUUACCCAUUGUAAAAUGUCAGUUCUUGCAUGUUACAGUUACCAAAUGAAAGAUGUGAGGUCUUGCCUGUUACAGUUACCCAUUGUAGGAUGAAACUUGGAGAUAACGAACAGUAUUCCAUAUCGAAAGUCUAUAAAACAAUACAAAAUAGUAGCAGAGCAAACACGGACCUCUUAAAUAUCAGGGGUGGGAUCAGGUGCAACGGAGGAGUAAGCAUCCCCUGCCGACCGGUCACACCCGCUGUGAUUACCUUGUCAUGAUCGGGAAAUAACAGAAGAAUCUGUCGUCAGUUCAGUGUAUGAAUAAUGGACUAACAAUCAGUUUGAAAACGCCACUCAGUAUUUGACUCAAUGAUAAAUUGUUUUUGCUGACGAGGUCAUUGUAUCAACGUUAGAACUUACGAAAUAAUGACUUUAAACGAGGCUGCUGAUAUUCUUGUUUAACCAAAUCGUCAUUAAUUUACCUCGUUUUAGAAAUUGUUCAUACGAGGGACAUGCUCUUGCGUAUCGAAUCAACUGAGAGAUGUAAACUCCGUAUGCAGGUGAUGAAGGUAUAUUGCUGCAUAAGUAAAGGAAGUUGACGAUAGAAAAGUUAAAGUCAUCACGAUAUAGAGCUUGGUUCCACAGGCACUUGUUUCUGUAAUAAAUUUUUGACCCAAAGUAUAAGGAUAACACAAGGUAUCUAACUCCAAUUUACACCGAGUACCCCCCCCCCUCCCUUAGAAUUGCGCUCAUUUACACUUUCAGAGGAAAUGCACGGGUUAACUGUUUAUACCUAUGUCUUCUACGAUAAUUUAUC